GAUGAACGCUGGCGGCGUGCCUAAUACAUGCAAGUCGAGCGGACAGAUGAGGAGCUUGCUCCUCUGACGUUAGCGGCGCACGGGUGAGUAACACGUGGAUACCCUACUUAUAAUACUGGUAUAACCUCGGGACACCGGAGCUAAUACCGGAUAAUAUACUGAACCGCAUGGUUCAAUAGUAAAAGACGGUUUUGCUGUCUCUUCUAGAUGGAUCUGCGCCGGAUUAGCUAGUUGGUAAGGUAACGGCUUACCAAGGCGACGAUGCGUAGCCGACCUGAGAGGGUGAUCGGCCGCACUGGAGCUGAGACACGGACCAUACGCCUACGAGACGGAGCAGUAGGGAAUGUGCCGCAGUGGUCGAGAGCCUGACGGAGCAGCGGCGCGUGAGAGGUGAAGGUCUUCGGAGCGUGAUACUCUGUUAUUAGGGAAGAACAAAUGUGUAAGUAACUAUGCACGUCUUGACGGUACCUAAUCAGAAAGCAACGGCUAACUACGUG
rnacentral:rRNA from 1 species